AUUGAACGCUGGCGGCAGGCCUAACACAUGCAAGUCGAACGAGUGGCGGACGGGUGAGUAAUGUCUGGGAAACUGCCUGAUGGAGGGGGAUCACUACUGGAAACGGUAGCUAAUACCGCAUACCCUCAGAUGUGCCCAUAUGGGAUUAGCUAGUUGGGGGGGUAACGGCUCACCAAGGCGACUAUCCCUAGCUGGUCGUAGAGGAUGACCAGCCACACUGGAACUGAGACACGGUCCAGACUCCUACGGGAGGCAGCAGUGGGGAAGAUUGCACAAUGGGCGAAAGCCUGAUGCAGCCAGGCCGCGUGUAUGAAGAAGGCCUUAGGGUUGUAAAGUACUUUCAGCGGGGAGGCGUUACCCGCAGAAGAAGCACCGGCUAACUCCGUGCCAGCAGCCGCGGUAAUUC
rnacentral:rRNA from 1 species